CUGGCAAAUCAUUUACCUCUGUAUAGAAUAAAAUAUCAUAUAUGAGACGAGUGUUUUCUCCAAUAUAUCUUCCAGGAAUAAAACCUGUCUGAUCAUUGCUAAUAAUAAUGGGUAGAACAGAUUUGAUACGCUCUGCUAUACAACUUGAUGCUAGUUUAUAUGUUGUAUUCAAAAGACUUAUUGGUCGCCAAUUUUUCAUAAACUGUCUAGGUUUAUCACCUUUUGGUAAACAAGUAAUAAUACCCUGUUUUUGAGUUAUUGAUAAUUCCCCCCUUUUGUAACCAUAAAUUAUAGAUCUGAAAACAAAUUUUCCUACAUUUGUCCAAAAGAAUUUAAAGAACUCAUUUGUAAAGCCAUCUGACCCUGGACUUUUCUCAUUUUUCAUUCUACGCAUAGCUGUUGUCAAUUCAUUAUAAGUUAUCUCCCCCUCUAAAGAUUCUUUUAAAGUAUCAUUUAAUUUUUUAAUAUCAGAAUCAGGUAUUUCACUAUUAAGAUUUACUUCACUCAAGCUUUCUGUUUUAGUAUACGUUUUUUUAUAGUAAUUUUUGGCCUCUUCUAAUAUUUUAUCUUGUUUACAAAUUGUCUCCCCUUUUUCAUUAACUAGUUUGGGGAUGGUUUUAUUUAUAAAAUGUUUAGUUUCCAUAUUAAAAAAAAACUAGAUGGCUUUUCCCUUCUUCAAUCCAUUGCAUUUUUGACCUGAUAUAGUAUCCCCUCAUUUUUUCUUUCCUUAUUAUUCUAAGAUCAGAUUUAUGGUGUUCAAUUUCAUUUAAUAUUUCCUCUGUUAAGAUGCUUUCCUCUAAUUUCUGAAUUUUUUCUGAUAAUAUUUUUUCCUCUUUAUCUCUUUCCUUCUUUUUAUAAGAUGCAUAGGAAAUAGUUUUUCCUCUGAUUUCUGUAAGUAAUAUUUCUAAAAAAAG
rnacentral:lncRNA from 1 species